UACGGAGGGGGCUAGCGUUGUUCGGAAUUACUGGGCGUAAAGCGUGUGUAGGCGGCCUUGCAAGUCGGAUGUGAAAGCCCCGGGCUCAACCCGGGAAGUGCACCCGAAACUGCAAGGCUCGAGUACCGGAGAGGUUGGUGGAAUUCUCGGUGUAGAGGUGAAAUUCGUAGAUAUCGAGAGGAACACCGGUGGCGAAGGCGGCCAACUGGACGAGUACUGACGCUGAGACACGAAAGCGUGGGGAGCAAACAGG
rnacentral:rRNA from 1 species